GAUCUUUAUUUUUAUAAAAUAUAAAUUAAAAAGAAUUUUUAUAUUUAUAUUUUAAAUAAAAUUUUACUGGGGUGGUAUUAAAAUUUAAUAAACUUUUAUUUUAAUUUAACAUUGAUUUAUGAAUUUAAGAUCCUGUAUUAUGGAUUAAAAAAUUAAGUUACCUUAGGGAUAACAGCGUAAUUUUUUUAGAGAGUUCAUAUCGAUAAAAAAGAUUGC
rnacentral:rRNA from 1 species